UAUUUUCCAUUCAUAAAAAAAAUUGAGAACUUUUCUUCCACUUUGACAGAGUAUUUUGUGUAGAUCAUUGACAGAAAAAUUACAAUUCAAUCCAUUUUAAUCCCACUUUAACACAACAAAAUGUGGAAAAAGUCAAGGGGUGUGAAUACCUUCUGAAGGCACUGUAUAUGUACUGUUCCCUGCUCUACACUGCAGUGACUCACCAUGAGCACCUCAGGGGGCAGUAGGGAUUCCAGGGGCAGCUCCCACCAGCAGUCACUUCCCUUCUCUGAGAAAAAAACCGACAACAAAAUGGCCAAAAUGGUGGCGGCUUACAUUGGAUUCCUUCUCCUUGCCUUGUUAAUCACAGGUCCACGCGCAAACACUACGACCAAGUCCCCAGCCGUGACUGCUAUGACCGAAGCUGGCGGCGCGAGUUCCAACAUGACCAAGAUGCUCGAUGUUGUCGCUACCAAGAACAUCACCAUUCCCAAAGGAGCCAGUGUGUCCUUGCUGUCCAGCUCGGUCACGCUCUUUUCCAUCGCGUUGGCGGGCGCUCUCCUACACGGCCGCUUCUAGAAGGCUCCUCCUGUACACUGCAAAGACUAAUAUCGGCAGUCAUGUGUACACCUAACCAUAGAGAUUAAGUGUGACUGGGAGGUUGCAGUGCUGCAAGAACAUCUUUCUAAUUCGCUGAUGGGAUUUCUUAUUUGGGCUCACACAUCCCUGGCCACUUCAAACCAGUAGGCCUAUACACCUUGUGCACUGGCCAUAGGGCCUAUGGCGUGGACCCCCUCCAUGGUGGCAGGCCAUGACAAGGAUGUGUGAAACUGGACUCUUUGACUCGUUUGGUUCCUGUGUAGAUGGCAGGGUUGUUUUUUAACUUAUGAAGUGUAAAUUUGCACAGUGAUUGGGUAGUCUACUAAUAUGAAGAAGUUGAUUGAGGUGCAUUGUGUAACAAUGUAUCCAGUAGUCUGAUCUUUGGCAUGCAUGGCCUUAAUGGUGGUAUUUCUAAUCCUGGACACUGUCAAGCUUAUGUGAUUUAUAUUUGAGGAAUAUCAUUUUAGUUUAAAUUGUCAUGUGUUAACUAAUUAUUUGAAAUGUACUUGUGACGAAUGUAUUUGUUCUUGUAGCCUACAAUAAAAUGACAUGGGCCUAACUGACAUGUCUCUAGUCUAAAGCUUGACAUGCCAACUAAUUGGCUCUGUUCCCUUUGUCUCCAGACCUGGCUAGGCUAUCAUGGCCUAGGAGGAAGGGUGCAUACUGAACACCUUGCUUGAUACUUUAUGCAACGAUCUCUUGGUUUCACCAAUUUGACUGAAGAGUGACAUUGAGCCACUUUUCUCAAUGUUAGUGUUUGACACCCUGGGUUGACUCCUGCGCAGUAUUCAGUUUCUGUCACCUUUUUGAAGUUAAGGUUUUGGAUGGGGUUGAAACAUUAAGUUUAGCUAUUAAUUUUGAAUGUUAAACGGGUAAGGUUUCAGGUUAAAACAAAUGGGUACCGCUAGGCUUGAACACAACCUUCAGCUUGGAGUAAUUUUAGCUAGCAAAUAUUAGCAUUGCUAGUUAUUUUUGACAAUUUGCUAGUAAUUGUAAAUUUGACAUGGAAGUUUCCUAAUUUGUGUUUAGCAAUGUCAUUGUACAGUGUUUCCAUACCACUAAGUGUAAUUUGACAACUGUCACAUUAGCCUGCGGUGCAACCCAUGUCUAGGGCACAAAAUUGAAUGCAGUUAUGAUGGUACUAACUUGUCUGACAAGUGUACUGAGCAGCAAACCUAAAACCAACCCAGGGCCAUAGUGAAAUAUGUCAGUUGGUGGCAUAGUAUGGUGUCACUGGCCUGAAUCUAAUCCAAUCAGGAACCAGUCUACAUCUUUAAGGUGUCACUAGCUUCCAAACAAGUUUAUUUCUCGCGCUAUUAUAAUUGAGGGUUGACAAUAGACCCUGUUUCUGUUAGUGCACAGUUGGGUGCCAGACUGAUCCCCUAGUUCUGAACAGAUGUCGGGACCUACCAGACGAUUGCCUGCUGCAGUUAUUUGAGAUGUCCAGUUUGCAGCCAAACAUGCAGCCUAGAGAAGACCGCAAGGGGGCCCUCAUUAGCAUCAUGCAGACAUGCCCUCGCUGUGAGCAUUCCUGUGACGAACAGUCGGCCACAUGUUGGCCAGCAACCUUCACCUGUCAGCGGCAACAGCUUUCACAGGCUCAUUUGUACAAAUACAGAAGGUAACCCACUUCAUUACUCUACAUUUAACCCAAUUGUGAAACUAUGUAAACAGACAUUUGAUUAUUUUCUACUUAGAUGCAUAUACUGCCCUACCAAGCAAAAAGGCAGUAACUGCUCAUUUGGUCAAAUGAGUUAGUCAUUUUUGCUACAUUAAAUACAUGCUUAAUCACGUGGACAAGUAUCCUGCCUCGUAUUGUUUUGAAGAAAAUGGGGGUCAUAUUAGCAGUUACUGUGAAACCAAGGUAAAUGGCAGUAACUGACCUUACUGCCUUUUAGCUUGGUUUUAACCUGCCCUUGGCUGCAGUUACUGCCUUUCACCUUGGUAUCAUAUUUUAUUAUGAUAGUGACACAAUCGAACCUGUAUGACACUGACUGACAGCUACACACACAUACAUUGCUAAUCAAAUCAAAUUUAUUUUUAAUUAGCCCUUCGUACAUCAGCUGACAUUCUCAAAGUGCUGUACAGAAACCCAGCCUAAAACCCCAAACAGCAAGCAAAGCAUGUGAAAGAAGCACGGUGGCUAGGAAAAACUCCCUAGGAAAAACUCCCUAGAAAGGCCAAAAACCUAGGAAGAAACCUAGAGAGGAACCAGGCUAUGAGGGGUGGCCAGUCCUCUUCUGGCUGUGCAGGGUGGAUAUUAUAACAGAACAUGGUUAAAAUGUUAAAAUGUUCAUAAAUGACCAGCAUGGUCAAAUAAUAAUAAUCAUAGUAGUUGUCGAGGGUGCAACAGGCACGUCCGGUGAACAGGUCAGGGUUCCAUAGCCGCAGGCAGAACAGUUGAAACUGGAGCAGCAGCACGGCCAGGUGGACUGGGGACAGCAAGGAGUCAUCAUACCAGGUAGUCCUGAGGCAUGGUCCUAGGGCUCAGGUCCUCCGAGAGAAAGACAGAAAGAGAGAAUUAGAGAGAGCAUAUUUAAAUACACACAGGACACCGGAUAAGACAAGAGAAAUACUCCAGAUGUAACAGACUGACCCUAGCCCCCCGACACAUAAACUACUGCAGCAUAAAUACUGGAGGCUGAGACAGGAGGGAUCAGAAGACACUGUGGCCCCAUCCGAUGAUACCCCCGGACAGGGCCAAACAGGCAGGAUAUACCCCCACCACUU
rnacentral:lncRNA from 8 species